UACGUAGGGUGCGAGCGUUGUCCGGAAUUACUGGGCGUAAAGAGCUCGUAGGUGGUUUGUCGCGUUGUCCGUGAAAACUCACAGCUCAACUGUGGGCGUGCGGGCGAUACGGGCAGACUGGAGUACUGCAGGGGAGACUGGAAUUCCUGGUGUAGCGGUGGAAUGCGCAGAUAUCAGGAGGAACACCGGUGGCGAAGGCGGGUCUCUGGGC
rnacentral:rRNA from 1 species